UUUUAUUUUUCUUUUAGUCAUAUUUGUUUUUGUUUAGGUAUGUAACAUUUAUUUACGUAGUUACAUACUACAACUAAAAAAAAGAAAAUCCAAAAUCCUAAUUGGAACCCACAAAAAUAGGGGCUUCAUACAAUUGUUUUAUUUGGCUGCCCUUAGGGCCGGCUCGACCACGUGACUGUUUGAAUUCUUGUUUUUUUUUUGUCAUCCGUUUAAUUAAUGAUACUCAAACGAACCAUUUAUGAGAAAUAUUAUUUAUAUAAGUGAUAUGAUACGGUUUGGUACGAAUGUUUCGUGUUAAAAAUCCGUUUUUAUAUUCGCACAAAGAGAAACUAAAAAUAAAGAAAAAUAAGAGAAUUCAUCAUUGUCGAUUUAGAUCUCCUUCAGAUAUACUAAGAACGCUGACCAUUUGGUUGGAGAAGACACAAUCUUCACCAAAUCUGAACAGUCUGAAAAAACGCGACAUCUUGGUUAUCAACUUCAAUCAUACAUCUCAUCGCCAAGAGAAAGCCUUCCACUUCGGUAUAAAGUGGAGAUAGGCUUCGUCGGGUGUUUGUUUGAAUUUGUAUCUAUGUUUAUAUUGUUUAGUGAAUGC
rnacentral:sRNA from 1 species